rnacentral:rRNA from 2 species
ACAUUGAAGUCGAACGAACGACCUCGGGCUUGCCCGGGGAAGUUAGUGGCGGACGGGUGAGUAACGCGUGGGUGACCUGCCCGGAAGUGGGGAAUAACUGCCCGAAAGGGUGGCUAAUACCGCAUGUGGCCACACGUUCGAUCGUGUGACCAAAGCCGCAAGGCGCUUUCGGAGGGGCCUGCGUUCGAUUANCUCGUUGGUGAGGUAACGGCUCACCAAGGCGACGAUCGAUAGGUGGUCUGAGAGGACNAUCACCCAGACUGGGACUGAGACACGGCCCAGACUCCUACGGGAGGCAGCAGUCGGGAAUUUUGCUCAAUGGGCGAAAGCCUGAAGCAGCAACGCCGCGUGAGGGAUGAAGGCCUUCGGGUCGUAAACCUCUUUUCUCANGGACGAUGAUGACGGUACCUGAGGAAUAAGCCACGGCUAACUACGUGCCAGCAGCCGCGGUAAUACGUAGGUGGCAAAGCGUUGUCCNGAUUUACUGGGCGUAAA